AGUCACUGACAUUAGAUACCCGCGUAGUCCCAGCCGUAAACAAUGUGCGUUAGGUGUGUCGGUAACCACGCGUUACUGAUGCGCCGAAGAGAAAUCGUGAAACGCACCACCUGGGAAGUACGGUCGCAAGGCUGAAACUUAAAGGAAUUGCGGGGAGCACCACAACAGGUGGAGCCUGCGGUCUAAUUGGAUUCAACGCCGGACAUCUCACCGGAUAAGACAGCUGAAUGAUUGUCAAUCUGAAGGUUUUACAUGACUAGCUG
rnacentral:rRNA from 1 species